rnacentral:rRNA from 1 species
UACGGAGGGUGCAAACGUUGCUCGGAUUCAUUGGGCGUAAAGCGCGCGUAGGCGGCUCGGAAAGUCGGGCGUGAAAUGCCGGGGCUCAACCCCGGGACUGCGUCCGAUACUUCCGAGCUGGAGGUAGGUAGGGGAGAUCGGAAUUCCUGUGUAGCGGUGAAAUGCGCAGAUAUCAGGAGGAACACCGGUGGCGAAGGCGGAUCUCUGGGCCUUACCUGACGCUGAGGCGCGAAAGCUAGGGGAGCGAACAGG